UGGGUGCGCAUAUUGUAGUUGUUUGCAGUCUUGCAUGUGCGUUUCUUAUAGCUCAUCUCUGCGAAUUCCAGAGGCAUUAAUCGAACGAGCUACGUCUUACUAUUUCAUCAGACUCUUUCUCUCUCUUGACUUUUUUUUAUCUGCUAGAAGCUAGCGACCUUGUUAACUCUGAGGAGAGUUGUAUGAAAAGAGGGCGUUCUUUCUGUGUUGUGGAGAUGACUGAAUACCGCUAGAUCUGACGACGAAGGUCGUUGUUGCUAGGAGGCAUCAACUGAGAGUUGUUUUAAGUUAUUUUUUCAAACCUAGUGUGUUGUCACCAGUCGCGAUGCGUAUUUAACCGAAAGUGAUUCCUGUUUACAAGCAGUCAAGUCAUCCGAAGUUAAACAGGUUUCUAUAACGCUCUUAUUCUACUGUACUGACAGAAAUAAAACAGAAUUCUACCAGUAAUCAGUGAUAUAGACUCAGUGACGUCAUCGAACGAAACCAGGCGUAUAUACCAUAAGUGGCGCGAACCGUCUAUAACUUUUUGAUAUGUCCAAUAUUCUAACGACUUGUAUCUGUGUUUUCUUAGCCUAUAAUACUGCUUGUUCGAUGGUAAGUAUACUUAUCUUGCACGUAAUUUCACGAUUGUUUUCAGCUUAGUUUUGAUGAAGACGUCUUAAAAUGUCAAGUUGGGCGUAUUAGCACAAUUAAACAGAAGUUAAAAAGUGCCGUGACCAUGACUCAAAUAACAAAUCACAAAAGAACGUGCUGUGCCAUGUUUACCUAAGUGACGUAAUUAUCAUAUUAAUAAGCCAAUUCUACUGUUAAACGAUUGGUAGAACUACCAUGCGUUGUACUGAUGGAUCGUAUUUAAGUGUUGCUUCCAGGAAGGAAUAAGAUAGAUAACUCCUAACAGGAAUUGCAAACCGAGUAACGUAAAAGGUCGACUUACCGUCAACUGUAACGAUUCAGACUAAAUAUCCAAUAUGGUUGAAGUGUCCACACCAUUUGGUGAUUAUAUGUGUUGACCUUUCUAUCGUUUGCAUUCAAUGCUAAUGAUCUCCGAUAGAAGCAGAACGAACACCUAUAUGUACUAGUUAAUUUAAUACUCAAAAUGAAAACAUCUAUAGAAAGGUAAAACCGAUUUCCCGAAAACCAUCAGACAGGCAAACCCGCAAAUAACAGCGGAUUUGCCGGAUUAACAGAUAAGGGAAAUGUUCUCUAGUUGAUGACUUGACUGAAUUUUAACGUGCGUGAGAAACAACAAGACUGGACACAUCAUUUAAUCAACAGUGAAAGCAAUCCUUAUUUAAACACAACAUAAAAAUAAUGUGCGUAUCUACGUAAACAAGUGGACGAUCGCCUGUAGUAAGAUCAUUGAAUAGCUUGCCUGGCUUUCGUUUCUCAAGGUCUGCUGAAUUAGUCAUGAUGAAAACCAAGUAAAACUAAACACGGAAAGUGUGCCUGGAUUUGUUUCAGUGGACGGCGUGACCUCUGUUCCCUGACAGCAUUGGUCAGCUAUCAGUUUUUUAGUUAACGUCGUAGUUCGGCCAGCAAAUGAUAUAUUUAAAUAUCAUUGCGGGCAGGGUAGGUCAUCUAACAAAAGAAUAAAGGGUUUGAAGACGGCUUGAAUGGGCAAUAAUUAAAACUAUAUUAGAAGUUUAACUUAGUAACAAAUGUACAACUUUUAUUUUGUACCUGACGAUCGCAAAAACAUUGUCGAAAUAACUUACAGUAAAGUUUUCUUCAUUGCCCAUUCAAACUUUAUUGUCUUGAAGUUGAUUCCCCUAUCAUCAAAACAGAAGAAAGGGCUGAACAAGAUAAUGUUAUACAUUAUGGACUUCGUGUUGCCUCCAUGACAGUGCAGAAGCUAAAUAAUCAGUAAUUA